GACAGAGGGGGCAAGCGUUGCUCGGAAUUACUGGGCGUAAAGGGCGCGUAGGCGGGAUGCAAGUCGGUCGUGAAAUCCCUCGGCUCAACCGAGGAACGUCGAUCGAUACUGCUGUUCUUGAGGAUUGCAGAGGAGACUGGAAUUCCCGGUGUAGCGGUGAAAUGUGUAGAGAUCGGGAGGAACACCGGUGGCGAAGGCGGGUCUCUGGGCAAUUCCUGACGCUGAGGCGCGAAAGCGUGGGGAGCGAACAGG
rnacentral:rRNA from 1 species